rnacentral:lncRNA from 1 species
CUGAAGAGAAGAUAAUUGGAGGAAAUGUUCAUUCUUUUAUUUUCUACCUUUAUAUUAUUGGAACAAAGUAAGAAACAGGUUUCUGUUGAAUUUUGAAUUUUAGAAUACUCAAAAUGAAGAUGAAUUAAUGCGAUACCUGAUAGAGACAUUAUUUAGUGACUGGUCUGUAGAAGUUAGUAAGAAUUCAGAAGUCUUCAGGUCAGCUACUGCUGCUGCCUCAGCCAUCUGCCCAGGAAUGGUCUGAUUGACAGUGGAUGUCCCAGCUGGCAGCCCUGAACUACUACUUAGCUGGCGGUGAUGAGCAGAAGUUGCUAGACUUGUCAUCUCUCCUCCCCAGUGAGGGAGCAAGAUGGGCUACUGCUGAUGUCAGAAAUGCACUUUCAGGAAACAAACAAAAAACGUGGCUACAUCUUUUUACCUUUUUCCUCCUAAUUAUUCAGUAUUGGAAGAACAGUCUGACACCUAGCCUGCUAAUCUUUGUAACGAUACUCAUGUUAGACAUUCAAGUGAUAAUGGGCAUAAACAUGUAGAGAGAUAAUGAACUUCAACGGAGAUGCUACCCAAAAUCAAGAUGGGAACACAGAUGUUAUUGAAAAGCUGUCAGAAUGUUAAAAUUCUUCUUUGGGUAAUGACAGGGACCUCAACAUUUAGAGAAAAGGCCAAACAUAUCAUAGCUACAUGGGCCUAGCAGUAUAUCAAAUGUUGUAAACACUUCUGUAGUCUGUAGUCAGAAACCACCUAAAGACAGCCCAGCUAUCCUGGAAAAUAGCUAUAGUCUUCAAAUUGUUGAUGACAGUUAUUUAGAAGAUGCUGAUUGGUUCAGGGAAACAGAUAACAGUGCAUAUGUCGUACUAGACAACUUGAGAUCACUGCUUUCAAACUAUGAGCCUUAAGAACCCAUUUCCUUACAGAGAUGUAAGCCCUGUGGAAAAUAAAGCUGUAUAAGUGGAAGAGCAGGAUAUGAGCUGAACAAAUUAUCCUCAGAGUGAUUUGGUACUGGUAUUAUAACUAUUAUUCUCUUACAGAGGAUCCAGGUUGCUGUUCUGAUCUUGCAGUUUGUAUUCUUGACCUUACAACAAUGUAUAAAUUAGACUGCCUUGUAUGUUAUCUUCAUCUACAUGGUUAUUUUGGUCAUCAACCUGCCUUAUUGAGAUAUCAGUAAAACAAAUAAGAAUGCAGAUCCAAAGAUAAAACGAAUAACAUACUGAGGAAGGAACUUCUGCAUUUCUUAUAUAGAACACCAUGUCCCACUGAGGAGUGAUUUGUAUGUGAACAUUUCAUACUUAAAAUCUUUCAUAUGACUGGCUGUGACCUGAAGCUGUAACAUGAGUUAUGAAGUCUGUUAAAAUACUUUUUUUUUUUGGGACGGAAUUUCACUCUUUCACCCAGCUGGAGUGCAAUGGUGCGAUCUCAGCUCACUGCAACCUCCGCCUCCUGGGUUCAAACGAUUCCCCUGCCUCAGCCUCCUGAGUAGCUGGGAUUACAGGCAUCCGCCACCAUGCUGGCUAAUUUCUGUAUUUUUAGUAGAGACAGAGUUUCGCCAUGUUGGCCAGGCUAGUCUCAAACCCCUGACCUCAGGUGAUCACCUAAAGGUGAUCCCGGCCUAAAAUACAUUUUUGAUACGGCAACAUAAGUGAACAAUAAAUAUAUUUUAAAUGGUUGUCAGAGGCACUAAAGAGAUAGAAUUUCCUGUUACUGACCCCUUGUAUUGAUUACUCUGAAUAAAUUAAUAAGAAAACAAAUGGUGCUAAACUGCCUUAAAGAAAAAUUUAGAAGGAUUACAGGCCUGAGCCACUGUGCCCAGCCUGUUCCCAGUGUUUAAAGAGCCAAUAAAGAUGAGCUCUCUUGGCCUGUAAUUGUAUUUAUUUGUUGACCUGAAAGUUCUUCAUUUUUUACCACUUGGAGCUCCCCAAAUAUCUAUAACCCACCACUCUCAAGAACAGUCCCACUCUCUCACACAUGCAUGCCCCAUCUAUACUACUUCAGUAUUGUUUUUAGAGGAGCCAGAAAUCCCAGCUACCAUGCCUGCUGCUGCUGUUUCUCUCAAGAAAAGUAAAUGUAGCUUGAGGAAAACUCUAAUUGCUGUGAACAUGUGUUGGCAAGCAGGGAGCAGGAGAAAGCUUUUAUCGUUUGGCUGAAAGGGUGCUCCUUUCCCACUUGGCCCCUCCCAUGUUUGUAGAGUUUCUUUACAUAGUAUGUGCUAAACCUGAAAAUGGGAGUAAUUACACCGUGAUUAUUAGGAGGACAGGAAGAAGAGUUUAGAUAUCUCUAUUUCAUACACAGAUCUACAACUUUUACCUUUCAGAUCAGUCCUAGGGAUUCAGAUCAGUGAAUAAGGCAAAAUUUCAUGAGAUACCCUAAUUAUAUCUUAUAUUGACUUCUAACCCAUCUGUAUUGGGGAGAGAGAAACUGAUGUCCUUUGAAGCCAACCCUGGCCUUGAAUUAGGCAAAUUAAUUUCUCUGACACAUGCUAUGAAAACUUGAGGGUUAGUUCAGGAAGAACUGUGCCACUAUGGAAGGAAUUAUAGGAGCUGUUUUAUCAUUAGCUGAGGAAAUAAUUCUGCAGGGUUAAUAAAUUAAGGCCUUAGGAAUUAUUCUUACCAAAAUACUGCAGCGCUUGGAGCGGUUACGCUUCCUUCAGCUAGAGCAGGAACAUACGUGUCCUCAGGAAGGACGCGCUGAACGCUUAAGGGGGCAGCCCCUGAAGGUACUGUAGUUUCAGAGGUUAAUGAAGCAAGAAAGGGGUUAGCUCCUGUAGGACGAGGGAGAGUAUGCAUUUUUUGUGGGGAGGGAAGAACGGUACGUCAUGCUUCAUCUCUCCUUCUGAUCAAAUCGGGAGGUCACUUGGGGUUAGCAGAAUAGGGGGAGGCUGUCUGGGAUACAGCUGACUUAGAAAGCAGGAUUUACUCUAAGUAUAUUGGACAUUUUUGCCCUCUUUUGGACCUCAUAAGUACAUUGCUUACAUACUUACAACAUGACAUUGUAUGAUUCUGAAUAUAUUAAUAUCUUGAUCCUGGGCUCCUGGCCAAAGAAGCCUCUCAAAACACUGAAAAAUAUUUCACUAAGAACAGUGUCUUGCAAACCUCUUAAGCAUUCAAUCCUAGACCUGGAAGGGUAUCAUCAAAAUGAAAAUUGAAAAAUAGAUGAAAGUUUAUAACUGGAAAAAGUUGUUUUGUUUUUAAACUAUAAGAGUGCCUAGAAAUGAAUCCCAGGCAGAAAAACCAUUUUUCCUGUUUCUCUGUUCUUUCAUGCUGAGAUUCUAGCUUUUGGCUUUUCAUCUCGAGACUAUGAGCCCAGAGUCUUUAUGUAUAAUUCCAAUAUAAGUUCUGCUUUUUUACAAAAUAAAUAAAUAAAUAAAAAUUUUUAAAUC